ACCCUCGUCCUCGCCAGCCACGCUGUGAGGUGAAAGCCACGCCAGCCACGCUGUGAGGUGAAAGCCACGGCACCCGGAGAGGAAGCGGCGUCCCCAGUCACGGCUCUGGGAGCAGCGGCGCGAGGAAGCGGCCCCGAGUCGCCGCCCGGCACGCGCCUCGACCGCGCGCGGGAGUCUCGGGGACGCGAGUCCUCGCGACGCGCCCGCCGGAUACCGCGAGAUUUGGAUGCCGCACGCGCUCGCCACGCAGGCUUGUUGCGCUCGCUCAGGCCGACCUGGAAAUGCGUAUUUCUUCAAAAAAACAUGUAAUGGACACUCUGUUCCCUGCAUCCCUCUGAGAACUGGGGAUGCUUCGGUCAGCAACACCAAGAGGCGCUCUUGCCCUGGCCCGACGGCGACGCGGCAGGGUCUUGCCGUGUUGCCCAGGCUGGUCUCAAACUCCCGGCCUCCAGUGAUCCUCCCGCCUCAGCCCCCCAGGUAGCUGGGACUAUGGACCAGCACUGGUGUCUCCCAACCUGCUAAUGUCUUUAGUGACCUGGAAACCCCAGCCACACAUUGCACAGUGGGGUGAAUUUGGAGCUAUGUUCACGUGGCUUGCCUUUGGCUUCUACUUCAACCAGCCUAAAUCAUCAUUCAGGAGGGAAUGAGUGACCCUUCUGAGAAUGUUGGAAAAGAAAGUAGCCACGGAAUCUGUGUUGAAGGUGAUCUGAAUGCCUGUUACCAUGUAACAGAUCACCUUAGGUGUGGAAAUGAUGCUUUGCUGUAAUGGGCAAGUUGAGACACCAGGUCACACUUGGCAAUCUACUCUAUAUGUGGAAGUCUACACAACCACAUGAGGGCUAACCUGUCAGUCCCCUUUAUAAAACAUUUUAGAAAAUUAAACAAUGCCCUACCUUCCCCUA